GACGAACGCUGGCGGCGUGCUUAACACAUGCAAGUCGAACGAUGAAGCCUAGCUUGCUAGGUGGAUUAGUGGCGAACGGGUGAGUAAUACGUGAGUGACCUACCUUUGACUCUGGGAUAAGCCUGGGAAACUGGGUCUAAUACCGGAUACGACCAAUCUCCGCAUGGGGUGUUGGUGGAAAGCGUUAUGGAGUGGUUUUAGAUGGGCUCACGGCCUAUCAGCUUGUUGGUGAGGUAAUGGCUUACCAAGGCGACGACGGGUAGCCGGCCUGAGAGGGUGACCGGCCACACUGGGACUGAGACACGGCCCAGACUCCUACGGGAGGCAGCAGUGGGGAAUAUUGCACAAUGGGCGCAAGCCUGAUGCAGCGACGCCGCGUGAGGGAUGACGGCCUUUCGGGUUGUAAACCUCUGUUAGCAUCGAAGAAGCGAAAGUGACGGUAGGUGCAGAGAAAG
rnacentral:rRNA from 1 species